rnacentral:tRNA from 1 species
GGGGAUGUAGCUCAGUGGUAGAACACUUUAUUUAGCAUGCAGAAGGCCCUGGGUUCAAUCCCCAGUACCCCCC